rnacentral:rRNA from 1 species
UAGGGAAUCUUCCGCAAUGGGCGAAAGCCUGACGGAGCAACGCCGCGUGAGUGAUGAAGGUCUUCGGUUCGUAAAACUCUGUUGUUAGAGAAGAACAGCGCAUAGAGUAACUGUUAUGCGUGUGACGGUAUCUAACCAGAAAGCCACGGCUAACUACGUGCCAGCAGCCGCGGUAAUACGUAGGUGGCAAGCGUUGUCCGGAUUUAUUGGGCGUAAAGCGAGCGCAGGCGGUCAAUUAAGUCUGAUGUGAAAGCCCCCGGCUCAACCGGGGAGGGUCAUUGGAAACUGGUUGACUUGAGUGCAGAAGAGGAGAGUGGAAUUCCAUGUGUAGCGGUGAAAUGCGUAGAUAUAUGGAGGAACACCAGUGGCGAAGGCGACUCUCUGGUCUGUAACUGACGCUGAGGCUCGAAAGCGUGGGUAGCAAACAGG